UACAGAGGGUGCAAGCGUUGUUCGGAAUUACUGGGCGUAAAGGGUUCGUAGGUGGCUUGCUAAGUCAGACGUGAAAUCCCUCAGCUUAACUGGGGAACUGCGUCUGAGACUGGUGAGCUUGAGUGCAGGAGGGGAACGCGGAAUUCCAGGUGUAGCGGUGAAAUGCGUAGAUAUCUGGAGGAACACCGGUGGCGAAGGCGGCGUUCUGGACUGCUACUGACACUGAUGAACGAAAGCCAGGGGAGCAAACGGG
rnacentral:rRNA from 1 species